GGACCCGCACAAGUAGUGGAGCAUGUGGUUUAAUUCGAAGAUACGCGCAGAACCUUACCAACACUUGACAUGUUCGUCGCGACUUUAAGAGAUUAAAGUUUUCGGUUCGGCCGGACGAAACACAGGUGCUGCAUGGCUGUCGUCAGCUCGUGUCGUGAGAUGUUGGGUUAAGUCCCGCAACGAGCGCAACCCUCACUUUUAGUUGCCAUCAUUAAGUUGGGCACUCUGAAAGAACUGCCAGUGAUAAGCUGGAGGAAGGUGGGGAUGACGUCAAGUCCUCAUGGCCCUUACGUGUUGGGCUACACACGUGCUACAAUGGUAUCUACAACAGGAAGCAAAACAGCGAUGUUAAGCAAAUCCUUAAAAGAUACCUCAGUUCGGAUUGCACUCUGCAACUCGAGUGCAUGAAGCUGGAAUUACUAGUAA
rnacentral:rRNA from 1 species